AGCUUCCGGGUCACCCCUCGCGGGCCGCGGCGGGGCGGGGUCCCCGGGACAGGCGCAGCCACGAGAGCCAAUCUCAGGGCACGCUCUCGCUUUCGCUAGCCCGUCGACGAGGCGAACGUAACGAGCGUGCCUGGAGGGCCCCCUCCGAGCGCCGCCUCUCGCGAACUCUGCUUCCGGGAUGGUGUGGCCGACUGUCUUCUGUAUUACCUCCCUAGUAGCGCCUCGAAGUUCCAAAUGGUCCAGAUAAAGAAAUCCGGAGCCAGUCGAAGGAAUCAAUGUGUUCCAAGUUCUGAGAAGUGGGGAUGUGUUCACUGUCGCAUCCCAUCACUAUCAUACUGCCUGAUACAAGGUAGGUACAAUUAAUAUUUGUUAUCUUAAUAAAUGAUAGCAAUUUAUUGCUUUAAAUGUUAAUUUUGAAUACAAAUUAUAUGAAUGAUUACAACAUUCUAGAAAGUCUUGGAACAGGGUAAGACUACUUCUUAUCUGGGAAGUCCUGGUGGUAUAGUGGUUAAGAGCUAGAGAGGCUAACCAAAAAGUUGGCAGUUCACAUCCACCAGGUGCUCCUUGGAAACGUUAUGGGGCAGUUCUACUCUGUCCUAUAGGGCCGCUAUGAGUCGGAAUCGACUGGACAGCAACAGGUUUCAUCAGCCUAAUAUCCAGCCUAACUCCUGAGUAACAGAGCCUUCUCUAUAUUGUAGGUAUGGUGAUGUGCCCCUCUGGGAAACUAAAUUUAUCAGCGUCAUUGUGCCUAGGGGUAGGCAAUGAGAUGUAAGUGGAAAUUUUGGGAAAGGGCUCUGAGAAAUCUAUCCUUUUUGCCCUCACCCCUUUUUUGUCCUUGCUGUGUUAAACAUGAGCUUGAUAAUGAGAGUUGCAGCAACCAAAUUAAAACCAAGAGGUGACCUUGAAGAUGGAAGCCAUGACGGUGGGGUGGAAAGAUGGAAGGAGCCCAUAAACCCUGACGAUAUCAGGAGGAUGCUGUACCAGCCCAUGAAUGCUUACGUUUGGGCUCGCUUUACAUAAAACCCAAAAGAGGUAAAUAAACUCCAUCUUGUUUAACCCACUGUUAUACUGUUUUUUUUCUUAUUUGCAGCUGCACCUAAUCCUUACUGACACAGAAAGAAAAGGUUGAAGCCUAAAGUUAUAAUUUAGUGAAUAAAUCGUUUAUGUAAGUACAAGUUAACAAAUUUUUAUAAGUAUGGUGGGAAUCUUGGAAUUUCUCUUAGUGUUGUUGCAGUUUAACAAGGAAUUUCCAAGGAAACUAUCAUCUUUGGAUCUCAGGAAUUUAUAGCUAAUAAUUAAAUAUUAUUAUAGUGAUGCAACAUAUAAUUAUACUGACUUUAUAGGUGAAAACAACUAAUGUUUAAACCAGUUGACUGGUGGCUCACUGAAAUAUAUUGCCCCUGAGCGUAGAUCCAGGAGUAGAACUAAUACAGUACCUUAAAUCUCAAACACUUUGACGAUUGGAAAGCAUUGAUCUUCCUAUUACUUCUCUGUAGUAGGAGAAGAUUCAUAAGGUUAACCUCUUCACUUCAUAUAACAUUGUUGAUUAUUGAAAUAUUCAUAAAUCUGUGGAAUCCUUGGAAGACAUAUCCGUCAUUCAUCCUUUUACAAUGACUUCAGAAAAGCAUGCCUACAGCAGAGGGAAGAACUGAAUGCCCUUGUCAACAGCGAGCAGUGCAAAUGAAAAGUAGUUGUGUAAACUAAUAUAUUUUUUAAAAGCCUAUCAUUUUGAGCUCCUACAUAUGCAACGUUACCAAGAACCCUGUGAAGUAUUAUUAUUUUAUUUAAAGAUGCAGCAAUGGCGGCUUGGAGGAACUAGGCAGCUUUGUCCUAGGAGACACAGAGCUCUGGUCAGCCAGGAUUCUUAUCCAGGUCUACCUCACUUAAAAACCCCUGCUCUUACCUCUACUUUUUUGUUGGAUGGUGGUGACUCUGUUCUUAAAAAUAGAAUGUAAGGGUUCCUUUUCUGAUGUAGAAUGAGAACUUUUAAAAUAAACAUUGGUAUUGAAGUGUAACUCAGAAAAAUGCACAAAUCAUGCAUACACUUUGGUAAGUUUUCUCAGUGAACAUAUGCAUGUAACCAUCGAGAAAAAGGGGCAUUCAUUAGCCAUCGGGGAAAUGCAAAUCCAAAUUACACUGAGAUACUACUUCAUACCCACUAGGCUGGCUAUAAUAAAAAAGACAAUAACAAUUGUUGGCCAGGAUGUGGAGAAACUGGAACCCUCAUAUGCACUGGUGAGAAUGUAAAAUGGUGCAACCUCUUCAGAAAACUGUCUGGCAGUUUCUCAAAAGGUUAAGCAUAGAGUUAUCAUAAAAUUCUGCUCUUAGGUAUAUACACACAAGAGAACUGAAAACAUACAUGCAAAAAUGUAUGCAUAAAGGUUCAUAGUAAACAAAAUAUUCUUAAUAGCUAUAUGUCCAUCAACUGAUGAGUGAAUAAACAAAUGUGGUAUAUCCAUACAAUGGACUGUUAUUCAGCAAUGGAGAGAAAUGAAGAACUGAUACAUUCUACCACCUGGAUAAGCCUUGAAAAUAUUGUACUAUGUGAAAGAAGCCAGAAACAAAGGACCACAUAUUGCCCAUAUGAAAUGUCAAGAAUAAGGAAAUCCAUAGAGACAGGAAAUAGAUUAGUGAUUGCUAGGGCUAGGGAAAAUGUCGAAGGGAAGGAAUGAGGACUCAUGGUUAAAAGAUACAGGUUUUCUUUUUGGGGUGAUAAAAUUGUUCUAAAAUUGGUUGUAGUGAUGAUUGCACAACUCUGUGAAUACACUAAUAAACUAUCAAAUUGACAAUUUAAACGAGUGAAUUGUAUGGUAUGUGAAUUAUAUCAAUAAAGUUUUGAAAAGAAACAAAAUAGAAAUAAUACAUAGGAAAGACACUUUUUUGUGGUUGUUAGAUGCUGUCAAGUCAGUUUUGAUUCAGAGCAACCCUAUCUACAACAAAACAAAACCCCGCCUGGUCCUGUGCCAUCCUCACAAUCAUUACUAUAUUUGAGCCGGUCGUUGCAGCCACUGUGUCAAUCCAUCUGGUUGAGGGUCUCCCUCUUUUUCACUGACCCUCUAUUUUACCAAACAUGAUGUACUUCUCCAGCAACUGGUCCCUCCUAAUAACAUGUCCAAAGUACAUGAGACAGGUUGGCAACCAAGGUAACAAAACAAUAUGCGAAUUAACUGUUUAGUGAAAAACUAACUUCCUCUGUAAACCUUCAUCUAAAGGACAAUUAAAUAUAUAUAUAUAUAGCUCCUCAACACACAGUUAAUGGUGCUUUCUCUGUAACAAGUACUAUUCUAGUCUGUUUUACACUUACUCUCACCAGAAUCCUGUAAGUGCUAUAAACCUAACUAAUCCAGUUGAGGAAAAUGAGAGAGGGUAAAAGAUUUCAUCAUAGCUGCUAAGUGACAGAAUAGUAGCAGCUGCCCAGGGUUUCUUGAUCCGUGCAAGUUAAAUAUUCUAAUACGCCGACAGUUCCUGAGCAUGGACUGGCAAUUUUGAGAUGGGGCAAAGGGGGCAAAGACAACAAGGACCUGACUAUGGCAUGUUGUUGUUGUUGUUAGGUGCCGUCAAGUUGGCCCCAACUCAUGGCAACCCAAUGUGUUAUAGAGUCGAACAGCCCAAUAGCGUUUUCUUGGCUGUAAUCGUUAUGGAGGCAGUUCACCAGGCCUUUCUUCCUCAGAGCCACUAGGUGAGUUCAAACUGCCAAACUUUGGGUCCUGCCACCCAGACUCCUUUGCAUAGGGUCUAUGAAUAAAUAAAUAUGUUGCAACAAAACAAGAGGUUAUAUGAAAUGAGAAUAGAAUUGAUAGGUGAAAAGACAAAUCCAGACUUUCACUUGGAGACUUCAACAUUCCUUUUAUAUUAAUCAGUACAAGUAGAUAGAAAACAGUAAGAAUAUAGAGGACCUGAGCAACAUUUGACUGCCUUGUCCUAAUUGACACUUAUAAAAUACUCCAUCCAAUGACAGGAGAAUACUUGUUCUUAAAGUAUGCAUAGAUCAUUCGUCAUGCAUAGAUACACUGUCUUCUGGGUCAUGAAACAAACCUUAACCAAGUUAAAAUAAUUGAAUUUAUACUAAGUAUGCUGUCUGAGACUAAUGAAAUUGCUUACUGAAAGUGAAGAGGACUUCAAGCACUUACUGAUGAAGAUCAAAGAUUACAGCCUUCAGUUUGGAUUACACCUCAACAUAAAGAAAACAAAAAUCCUCAUAACUGGACCAAUAAGCAACAUUAUGAUAAUCAGAGCAAAGAUUGAAGUUGUCAAGGAUUUCAUUUUAUGUAGAUCCAUAAUCAAUGCCCAUGGAAGCAGUAGUCAAGAAAUGAAAUAACAUAUUGCAUUGGGCAAAUCUGUUUCAAACAACCUCUUUCAAGUGUUAAAAAGUAAUGAUGUCAAUACAAGGACUAAGGUGCUGCCUGACUCAAGCCAUGGUGUUUUCAAUCAAUCACCUCAUAUGCAUGCGAAAGCUGAGCAAUGAGUAAGGAAAACUAAAAAAGAAUUGAUGCCUUUGAAUUAUAGUGUUGGGGAAGAAUAUUGAAUAUACCAUAGACUGCCAGAAGAACGAACAGAUCUGUCUUGGAAGAAGUACAACCAGAAUGCUCCUUAGAAGUGAAGAUGAUGAGACUUCAUCUCCCAUAACUUUUGACAGGUUAUCAGGAGUGAUCAGUCCCUGGGGAAGGACAUCAUGCUUGGUAAAGUAGAGGGUAAGUUAAAAAGAGGAGACCCUCCAGAAGAUGGAUUGAAACAGUGGCUGCUAUGAUGGGCUCAAGCAUAACCAUUGUGAGGGUGGUGAAGGACUGGGUAGUAUUUCCUUCUGUUGUACAUGGGGUCACUAUGAAUCAGAUCUGACUCAAUGGCACCUAUUGAUAACAACAACAUACUCUCUGAAACUAAUAAAGUUAGACUAAAAAUCAAUUACUAGAAAAUAAUUAUUCUGAGAGGAAGAAGCCAGACCCCUCCAAAAAAAAAAAAGUAAAUAAUGUAUGAUUCCAUUUCUAUAAAAUUCUAGAAAAUGUAAAACAAUCUAUAGUGAAGGAAAACAGACCAGUGGUUGCUUGAGCAUAGUGUGGGCAGAACAGGGAGGGCUAAAAUGGAAGGAUUACAGAGGGAGAACAGGAAACUUUGAAGGUGAAAGAUAUGUCAUUUUCUUAAGUGUGAUUGUUUCUUGGGUGUAUAAUGUCAAAAUUUAUCCAAUUAUACAAUUCUAAUAUGUACAGUUUAUGUCAAUUACAGCUCAAUAAAGCUGAUUAAAAAUGAAAAAUAAAACAAAAUACAUGAAACAAAGUCUCGCUAUCCUCACUCCUAUUAAGCAUUCUGGCUAUACUUCUUCCAAAACAGAUUUGUACAUUCUUCUGGCAGCCCAUAAAGUGUUCAAUAUUUUUUGCCAGCACCGUAAUUCAAAGGCAUCAAUUCUUUUUCAAUCUUCCUUGUUUGUUGUCCAACUUCCACAUGCAUGUGAGGCGAUUGAAAAUAACCAUGGCUUGGAUCAGGCACACCUUAGUCCUCAAAGUGACAUCUUUGCUUUUCAACACUUCAAAGAACUCUUUUGCUGCAGAUUUGCCCAGUGCAACAUAUCGUUUGAUUUCUUGAUUGUUGCUUCCAUGGGCAUUGAUUGUGGACCUGCGUAAAAUGAAAUCCUUGACAACUUCAAUCUUUUCACCAUUUAUCAUGAUGUUGCUUUAUUGGUCCAGUUGUGACGAUUUUUGUUUACUUUAUGUUGAGGUGUAAUCCAUACGAAGGCUGUGGUCUUGCUUUUCAUCAGUAAGUGCUUCAAGUCCUCAUCACUUUCAGCAAGCAAGGUUGUGUCAUCUGCAUAACGCAGGUUGUUAAUGAGUCUUCCUCCAAUCCUGAUGCCACGUUCUUCUUCGUAUAGGCCAGCUUCUCAGAUUAUUUGCUCAGCAUACAGAUUGAAUAAGUAUGGUGAAAGGAUACAACCCUGACACACACCUCUUCUGAUUUUAAACCACCCGGUAACCCCUUGUUCUAUUCCAACAAUUGCCUCUUGGUCUAUGUACAGGUUCCCCAUAAGGACAAUUAAGUGUUCUGGAAUUCCCAUCCUUUACAGUGUUAACCAUAAUUUGUUAUGAUCCCCAUAGUUAAAUGCCUUUGCAUAGUCAAUAAAACACAGGUAAACAUUUUUCUGGUAUUCUCUGCUUCCAGCCAGGAUUUAUCUGACAUCAGAGUGAUAUCCCUUGUUCCAAAUCCUCUUCUAAAUCCACCUUGAAUUUCUGGCAAUUCCCUGUCAAUUACUGCUGAACCCUUUUAAAAUUAUCUUAAGCAAAACUUUACUUGCUUGUGAUAUUAAUGAUACUGUUUGAUAAUUUCCACAGUAGGUUGGAUCACCUU